UGAUCCUGGCUCAGAACGAACGCUGGCGGCAGGCCUAACACAUGCAAGUCGAGCGCACCUUCGGGUGAGCGGCGGACGGGUUAGUAACGCGUGGGAACGUACCCUUUUCUACGGAAUAGCCUUUGGAAACGAAGAGUAAUACCGUAUACGCCCUUUGGGGGAAAGAUUUAUCGGAGAAGGAUCGGCCCGCGUUAGAUUAGAUAGUUGGUGGGGUAACGGCCUACCAAGUCUACGAUCUAUAGCUGGUUUUAGAGGACGAUCAGCCACACUGGAACUGAGACACGGUCCAGACUCCUACGGGAGGCAGCAGUGGGGAAUUUUGGACAAUGGGGGCAACCCUGAUCCAGCCAUUCCGCGUGAGUGAAGAAGGCCUUCGGGUUGUAAAGCUCUUUCACAAGAGAAGAAAUCUUAUUAUCAAAUAAAUAGUAAGGAUGACGGUAUCUUGAGAAGAAGCACCGGCUAACUACGUGCCAGCAGCCGCGGUAAUACGUAGGGUGCGAGCGUUAAUCGGAAUUACUGGGCGUAAAGCGUGCGCAGGCGGUUUUAUAAGUCAGAUGUGAAAUCCCCGAGCUCAACUUGGGAACUGCGUUUGAAACUGUAAGACUAGAGUGUGUCAGAGGGGGGUAGAAUUCCAUGUGUAGCAGUGAAAUGCGUAGAUAUAUGGAGGAAUACCAAUGGCGAAGGCAGCCCCCUGGGAUAACACUGACGCUCAUGCACGAAAGCGUGGGGAGCAAACAGGAUUAGAUACCCUGGUAGUCCACGCCCUAAACGAUGUCUACUAGUUGUUGGUGGAGUAAAAUCCAUGAGUAACGCAGCUAACGCGUGAAGUAGACCGCCUGGGGAGUACGGUCGCAAGAUUAAAACUCAAAGGAAUUGACGGGGGCCCGCACAAGCGGUGGAUUAUGUGGAUUAAUUCGAUGCAACGCGAAAAACCUUACCUGGCCUUGACAUGUACUGAAUUUAGCAGAGAUGCUUUAGUGCUCGAAAGAGAACGGUAACACAGGUGCUGCAUGGCCGUCGUCAGCUCGUGUCGUGAGAUGUUGGGUUAAGUCCCGCAACGAGCGCAACCCUUGCCAUUAAUUGCCAUCAUUUAGUUGGGCACUUUAAUGGGACUGCCGGUGACAAACCGGAGGAAGGUGGGGAUGACGUCAAGUCCUCAUGGCCCUUAUGGCCAGGGCUUCACACGUAAUACAAUGGUCGGUACAGAGGGAAGCCAACCCGCGAGGGGGAGCCAAUCCCAGAAAGCCGGUCGUAGUCCGGAUUGUUGUCUGCAACUCGACAGCAUGAAGUCGGAAUCGCUAGUAAUCGCGGAUCAGAAUGUCGCGGUGAAUACGUUCCCGGGCCUUGUACACACCGCCCGUCACACCAUGGGAGUGGGUUUUACCAGAAGUAGUUAGUCUGACCGUAAGGGGGACGAUUACCACGGUAGGAUUCAUGACUGGGGUGAAGUCGUAACAAGGUAACC
rnacentral:rRNA from 1 species